rnacentral:rRNA from 14 species
UGUAAGAACUGAAUUAAACUAGCACAUUUGAUCCCAUCUGAUUUCAGAAGCUAAGCAGGAUGCAAACCUGGUUAGCACUGGAUGGGGGAAAUGUCUAGUUCAUUUCUAAAGACUUGGGUGCUGUUGCGA